rnacentral:lncRNA from 1 species
UAGUUCCUCCCCCUGCCUGUGAAGUCUGCAGGCCAGAUUCGCGCCCUCCCCUGAGUUCUGGCCAGGAGGCUUCUUGCCCUGUUCAAAUGGUUACAAAGUUCAGCUAGAGAAUUCCUUCUCCCUGUAGAGUUUUACCCCCUGCUCCUCUGGCCGCCCUCCGGAUGGAUCUUUGUGUUGCCAGGCAGGAAUGGGCUGCUUGGGGACCCAGUGAGCUCCGAGGGCCUUUCUGCUGCUUCCUGUACCCCUGUAUUUCGCUCAGCUCUCUGACUUGACUCAGCUCCAGGAGGAAUCUGCAUAGAUUAGACGAAAAAGUUAAAAGGAG